GCGGACCGACGGGAGCUUGCUCCCUUAGGUCAGCGGCGGACGGGUGAGUAACACGUGGGUAACCUGCCUGUAAGACUGGGAUAACUCCGGGAAACCGGGGCUAAUACCGGAUGCUUGAUUGAACCGCAUGGUUCAAUCAUAAAAGGUGGCUUUUAGCUACCACUUGCCGAUGGACCCGCGGCGCAUUAGCUAGUUGGUGAGGUAACGGCUCACCAAGGCGACGAUGCGUAGCCGACCUGAGAGGGUGAUCGGCCACACUGGGACUGAGACACGGCCCAGACUCCUACGGGAGGCAGCAGUAGGGAAUCUUCCGCAAUGGACGAAAGUCUGACGGAGCAACGCCGCGUGAGUGAUGAAGGGUUUCGGAUCGUAAAACUCUGUUGUUAGGGAAGAACAAGUACCGUUCGAAUAGGGCGGUACCUUGACGGGACCUAACCAGAAAGCCCCGGCUAACUACGUGCCANCAGCCGCGGUAAUACCUGAGUGGCAAGCGUUGUCCGGAAUUAUUGGGCGUAAAGCGCGCGCACGNNGUUUCUUAAGUCUGAUGUGAAAGCCCCCGGCUCAACCGGGGAGGGUCAUUGGAAACUGGGGAACUUGAGUGCAGAAGAGGAGAGUGGAAUUCCACGUGUAGCGGUGAAAUGCGUAGAGAUGUGGAGGAACACCAGUGGCGAAGGCGACUCUCUGGUCUGUAACUGACGCUGAGGCGCGAAAGCGUGGGGAGCGAACAGGAUUAGAUACCCUGGUAGUCCACGCCGUAAACGAUGAGUGCUAAGUGUUAGAGGGUUUCCGCCCUUUAGUGCUGCAGC
rnacentral:rRNA from 1 species